rnacentral:rRNA from 1 species
UAGGGAAUCUUCGGCAAUGGACGAAAGUCUGACCGAGCAACGCCGCGUGAGUGAAGAAGGUUUUCGCAUCGUAAAACUCUGUUGUUAGAGAAGAACAAGGACGUUAGUAACUGAACGUCCCCUGACGGUAUCUAACCAGAAAGCCACGGCUAACUACGUGCCAGCAGCCGCGGUAAUACGUAGGUGGCAAGCGUUGUCCGGAUUUAUUGGGCGUAAAGCGAGCGCAGGCGGUUUCUUAAGUCUGAUGUGAAAGCCCCCGGCUCAACCGGGGAGGGUCAUUGGAAACUGGGAGACUUGAGUGCAGAAGAGGAGAGUGGAAUUCCAUGUGUAGCGGUGAAAUGCGUAGAUAUAUGGAGGAACACCAGUGGCGAAGGCGGCUCUCUGGUCUGUAACUGACGCUGAGGCUCGAAAGCGUGGAGAGCAAACAGG